rnacentral:rRNA from 1 species
CGGCGGACGGGUGAGUAAUGCCUAGGAAUCUGCCUGGUAGUGGGGGACAACGUUUCGAAAGGAACGCUAAUACCGCAUACGUCCUACGGGAGAAAGCAGGGACCUUCGGGCCUUGCGCUAUCAGAUGAGCCUAGGUCGGAUUAGCUAGUUGGUGAGGUAAUGGCUCACCAAGGCGACGAUCCGUAACUGGUCUGAGAGGAUGAUCAGUCACACUGGAACUGAGACACGGUCCAGACUCCUACGGGAGGCAGCAGAG